AUGAGAGUUUGAUCCUGGCUCAGGACGAACGCUGGCGGCGUGCCUAAUACAUGCAAGUCGAACGCUUCUUUCCUCCCGAGUGCUUGCACUCAAUUGGAAAGAGGAGUGGCGGACGGGUGAGUAACACGUGGGUAACCUACCCAUCAGAGGGGGAUAACACUUGGAAACAGGUGCUAAUACCGCAUAACAGUUUAUGCCGCAUGGCAUAAGAGUGAAAGGCGCUUUCGGGUGUCGCUGAUGGAUGGACCCGCGGUGCAUUAGCUAGUUGGUG
rnacentral:rRNA from 1 species